AACAUCUAUUGAUUUUUUUUCCUCCGGCAAAGGGGAAUGAGACAGCUAUUUCUUUUUCUGCAGACAGAAGCAAGGAAAAAAAAGCACAGUUAAAUCAGCUUCUCAUUUGGUGCCUCCCGGUUCACGUCUCAACGCUAGACAGUGUUGACUCCGCAGCUCAGAUAAAUCUGGAGUUGGAGGGGUCCUCACAGAUUAUGCAGUCCUUCUGUCUAAACUGAGGAAACAGAGACACCCCCCAAAUCCCCUGGAUGGCCUAGAAGGAUCUGGGGACCUGAGAAGCAAGUCAACCUCAGACCUGUCGGUGUUGACUGCAGGAUGCAUCCCACAAAGCGCUGCCUGGACUUCUCAUCUGGCCUCUUAUUAAUUUCUAUUGAUAAAGAUUCCAAGGAUCCAGGUCUGUAACACAGGGACACCCAAGGUACGACUCUAGCUGUGCCCUGCAAGCAAGGUGACAGGGCCAGUUAUCCUCCUUCUGAGAGCCUCACGUAUCACCAUCCUCUAAUCUUUGAUAACUGGUAGGAAAACAAGGGAAUGUCUCUGUUGUUUCAGCUUACAUUUCUCUGAAAGUGAGGUUAAAUAUUCUUUUUCCAUGGAUACAUUCCC
rnacentral:lncRNA from 9 species